rnacentral:rRNA from 1 species
UACGAAGGGGGCUAGCGUUGCUCGGAAUCACUGGGCGUAAAGCGCACGUAGGCGGAUUCCUAAGUCGGGGGUGAAAUCCUGGAGCUCAACUCCAGAACUGCCCUCGAUACUGGGAAUCUUGAGUCCGGGAGAGGUGAGUGGAACUGCGAGUGUAGAGGUGAAAUUCGUAGAUAUUCGCAAGAACACCAGUGGCGAAGGCGGCUCACUGGCCCGGUACUGACGCUGAGGUGCGAAAGCGUGGGGAGCAAACAGG